GAUGAAGAACGUAGCGAAAUGCGAUACGUAAUGUGAAUUGCAGAAUUCAGUGAAUCAUCGAAUCUUUGAACGCAUAUUGCGCUCUCUGGUAUUCCGGAGAGCAUGCUUGUUUGAGUAUCAGUAAACACCUCAACUCCCUUUUCUUUUUUGAAAUUGGAGCUGGACUUGAGUGAUCCCAACGCUUUCUUCCGAGAAAGUGGCGGGUUGCUUGAAAUGCAGGUGCAGCUGAACUUUUCUCUGAGCUAUAAGCAUAUCUAUUUAGUCUGCCUAAAAAACAGAUUAUUACCUUUGCUGCAGCUAACAUAAAGGAGACUAGUUCUUGUGCUGACUGAUGCAGGAUUCACAGAGACAGCUUCGGCUGACUUUGUAAACUCGAUCUCAAAUCAAGUAAGACUACCCGCUGAACUUAAGCAUAUCAAUAAGCGGAGGA
rnacentral:misc_RNA from 1 species